AGACCCGAAACCCGGUGAUCUAGCCAUGGGCAGGUUGAAGGUUGGGUAACACUAACUGGAGGACCGAACCGACUAAUGUUGAAAAAUUAGCGGAUGACCUGUGGCUGGGGGUGAAAGGCCAAUCAAACCGGGAGAUAGCUGGUUCUCCCCGAAAGCUAUUUAGGUAGCGCCUCGUGAAUUCAUCUCCGGGGGUAGAGCACUGUUUCGGCUAGGGGGCCAUCCCGGCUUACCAACCCGAUGCAAACUGCGAAUACCGGAGAAUGUUAUCACGGGAGACACACGGCGGGUGCUAACGUCCGUCGUGAAGAGGGAAACAACCCAGACCGCCAGCUAAGGUCCCAAAGUCAUGGUUAAGUGGGAAACGAUGUGGGAAGGCCCAGACAGCCAGGAUGUUGGCUUAGAAGCAGCCAUCAUUUAAAGAAAGCGUAAUAGCUCACUGGUCGAGUCGGCCUGCGCGGAAGAUGUAACGGGGCUAAACCAUGCACCGAAGCUGCGGCAGCGAACGUAUCACCCAAGACAACUUUACGGAGUUGACGAUUGACGGAGCGAAGCGACGUCAAAGCGUUCAUUAAAGUCGAGUUGGCUUAGGGAUACGUUCGUUGGGUAGGGGAGCGUUCUGUAAGCCUGUGAAGGUGUGUCGUGAGGCAUGCUGGAGGUAUCAGAAGUGCGAAUGCUGACAUAAGUAACGAUAAAGCGGGUGAAAAGCCCGCUCGCCGGAAGACCAAGGGUUCCUGUCCAACGUUAAUCGGGGCAGGGUGAGUCGACCCCUAAGGCGAGGCCGAAAGGCGUAGUCGAUGGGAAACGGGUUAAUAUUCCCGUACUUGGUGUUACUGCGAAGGGGGGACGGAGAAGGCUAUGUUGGCCGGGCGACGGUUGUCCCGGUUUAAGCGUGUAGGUGUGUGUUCCAGGUAAAUCCGGUUCACUUUAACACUGAGGCGUGACGACGAGGCACUACGGUGCUGAAGCAACAAAUGCCCUGCUUCCAGGAAAAGCCUCUAAGCAUCAGGUAACACGAAAUCGUACCCCAAACCGACACAGGUGGUCAGGUAGAGAAUACCAAGGCGCUUGAGAGAACUCGGGUGAAGGAACUAGGCAAAAUGGUGCCGUAACUUCGGGAGAAGGCACGCUGACACGUAGGUGA
rnacentral:rRNA from 2 species